rnacentral:tRNA from 1 species
AGAGACUUAGGAUAACUGAAAGACCAAGAGCCUUCAAAGCCCUAAGUGGGGGUUAAAUUCCCCCAGUCUCUG